ensembl:snRNA U6 U6 spliceosomal RNA
GUAGAACAAUACAAAAGAUUAGCGUGGUCCCUGUGCAAGGAUGACACACAAAUUCAUGAUGCAAAAAAUUCCCUU